AUAUAUCGGAACGUGCCCAGCUCGUGGGGGAUAACGUAGCGAAAGCUACGCUAAUACCGCAUACGAUCUACGGAUGAAAGCGGGGGAUCGCAAGACCUCGCGCGAUUGGAGCGGCCGAUAUCAGAUUAGCUAGUUGGUGGGGUAAAGGCCCACCAAGGCGACGAUCUGUAGCUGGUCUGAGAGGACGACCAGCCACACUGGAACUGAGACACGGUCCAGACUCCUACGGGAGGCAGCAGUGGGGAAUUUUGGACAAUGGG
rnacentral:rRNA from 1 species